rnacentral:misc_RNA from 1 species
GAUGAAGAACGUAGUGAAAUGCGAUAGGUAAUGUGAAUUGCAGAAUUCAGUGAAUCAUCGAAUCUUUGAACGCACAUUGCGCCCCUUGGUAUUCCAUGGGGCAUGCCUGUUCGAGCGUCAUUUGUACCUUCAAGCUCUGCUUGGUGUUGGGUGUUUGUCUCGCCUCUGCGUGUAGACUCGCCUCAAAACAAUUGGCAGCCGGCGUAUUGAUUUCGGAGCGCAGUACAUCUCGCGCUUUGCACUCAUAACGACGACGUCCAAAAGUACAUUUUUACACUCUUGACCUCGGAUCAGGUAGGGAUACCCGCUGAACUUAAGCAUAUCAAUAAGCGGAGGA